AUAAGCUUUCUGUGUAGUGAUG
rnacentral:siRNA from 1 species